UACGUAGGUGGCUAGCGUUGUCCGGAUUUACUGGGCGUAAAGAGCGCGCAGGCGGUCGUUCAAGUCGAGUGUGAAAGCCCCCGGCUCAACUGGGGAGGGUCACUCGAUACUGAUCGACUUGAAGGCGGGGGAGGGAAGCGGAAUUCCCGGUGUAGUGGUGAAAUGCGUAGAUAUCGGGAGGAACACCAGUGGCGAAGGCGGCUUACUGGCCCGUUAUUGACGCUGAGGCGCGAAAGCUAGGGUAGCAAACGGG
rnacentral:rRNA from 1 species